ACCUGUUGAUCCUGCAGGAGGCUGCCGCUAUUUGAGUUCGACUAAGCCAUGCAAGUUAGGUAGCAAUACCGGCGACAUGCUCAGUAACACGUAGUUAAUCUACCAUAUGGCAAAGGAUAACCUCGGAAACCUGAGGGUAAUACUUUAUAGGGAAUGCAUUCUGGAAGGAGGCAUUCUUCAAACGUAAGGCCAUAUGAUGAGACUGCGGUGGAUUAGGUAGUUGGUAGGGUAAUGGCCUACCAAGCCUGUGAUCCAUACGGGCCUUGGAAGAGGGAACCCGGAGAGGGACACUGAGAUACUGGUCCCAGCCCUACGGGGUGCAGCAGGCGCGAAAACUUUACAAUGCACGAAAGUGUGAUAGGGGAACUCAGAGUGCCUAUGUUUUACAUAGGCUUUUGCCGAGUCAAAACUGCUCGGAGAAUAAGUGGUGGGCAAGACUGGUGCCAGCCGCCGCGGUAACACCAGCAUCACAAGUGGGAGUCGAUAUUAUUGGGCCUAAAGCGUCCGUAGCAGGCUUGUUAAAUUAUUUGUGAAAUCGGAUGGCUUAACCAUUCGGAUUGCAGGUAAGACUGGCAAGCUAGAGACCGGGAGACGUUAGAGGUAUUCAAAGGGGAGCGGUAAAAUGCGAGAAUCCUUUGAGGACCACCUGUUGCGAAGGCGUCUAACAAUAACGGGUCUGACUGUGAGGGUCGAAAGCUAGGGGAGCGAACUGGAUUAGAUACCCAAGUAGUCCUAGCCCUAAACGCUGCGAGUUAGGUGUCGUAUAAUCUACGGGAUUAUGCGGUAUUGGAGCGAAGGCGUUAAACUCGCCGCCUGGGAAGUACGGCCGCAAGACUGAAACUUAAAGGAAUUGGCGGGGGAGCACCACAAGGGGUGCGGCGUGCGGUUUAAUCGAAUUCAACGCCGAGAAUCUCACCAGAGGCGACGGCAGGAUGAAAGACAGUCUAAAGGGCUUUCUUGACGAGCCGAGAGGUAGUGCAUGGCCGCCGUCAGCUCGUAUCGUGAGAUGUCCUGUUAAGUCAGGUAACGAGCAAGACCUGUACCUAUAAUUGCUAACAGCUAUUAUAUAGGACUGAGCACAUUAUAGGGACUGCCAUGGAAACAUGGAGGAAGGUGCAGGCAACGAUAGGUCUGUAUGCUCCGAAUCUUCUGGGCUACACGCGCGCAACAAUGGAUAGGACAAUGGGAUGCAACUCCGAAGGGAGAAGCUAAACCUCGAAACCUAUUCUUAGUCUGGAUUGAGGGUUGUAACUCACCCUCAUGACACCGGAAUCCCUAGUAAUCGGUCCUCAUCAUAGACCAGUGAAUAUGUCCCUGCUCUUUGCACACACCGCCCGUCAAACCAACCGAGCAUAGCUCGAGUGAGCCGUAGUUUAAUUGAUUGCGUCGAACUCAAGUUAAGUAAGGUGGGUUAAGUCGUCACAAGGUA
rnacentral:rRNA from 1 species